rfam:Cronobacter sp. DJ34 Bact_Abyss2_96, whole genome shotgun sequence.
CAGGGUAGAUAAACCAGCACGGGCGUAGGAGUUUUCUCCACGCCCGUGCUCGCAUGUUAAGGGCAGAAAACCAAAA